UCACUAAACAACCUCGUGGAACUGAGCUGGUAUCACCUGAGAGCGCCAGUUACCUCUUCCUCUAGCCAGUCAUUAUACUGGACGAUGGUGGACAUGACAGCAUCAGCACCUUUCAUGUAGAAGGUGAUUUCUGCCGUGGACUCAUCCUGCAAGGAAGGAGAAUAAAUGGGCUACAUUGCCCCGAUGCUCGGGCACCAAGAUCGAGAACACAGCUGCAGAUCUCGAGUCACUGUGCGGUGCUCAGAAUAAAAUUAGUUAUUGGACAUAU